GCCCUUCGUGUGUUCUUGACUCCAUUUCAUUUCAUGUUGUUUUGUUUGGUCUUUGGUAGGGAGUUUAUAUUAUUUAUAAGAGUGAGCAUAUGGCCUUUGGCUCAAUGUGAAUUUCGGUCACUCACGGUCAACAAUCACCAUCUGGUUUCUGCAUAGGUGCAAUGAGACUUUUUCUGCAGGGCUUCAGAUCACGAGUCCCCGCUUGCCACCCAGGCCAUCCCUAGAAAUGCACAGUUACGCUGUUUCUUGUUAAGCCACAGACCUCUUAAAACAACAUGGCUUCAUCGCGUCCUUUACUACCAGGAAUCCUAAAGUCAGACACAGCACCUACGGGGGCAAAUACAUUGACAGCCACAGAAUUUAGCCCUGGAACUGAUGUAUAGAUUAUAUAUAGUCAAAACCUUUUACAUGAACUAGGAAAAAAAUAGUGGUUUGAUUUGCCUGAGUCUCAUAAUGUGAGCCCUUCACAGAGGAGUUCUUGAGUAACUGAGGUCCUCUUGCUUUGACCCCUUCCCAUUCAGUCUGUCCUUUAAUCUGGAAACUGCCUUUGGUGAGGACGCCUCCAUUGUCCUGCACUGAUGGGGGAGUGAGGGCUGUGCAGAAGGGGAGGAUGGCCUCCAGAAGGGAGGGAGGAAAGGGGGAAGAGAUAAUGGAGCAUUACCAAGGCAGCAAUGCUACUAAAAUCAUUUCAGAGCCUGGGCUUCACACCAGCAAGGGCCACCCGAUUCAGAAAAGGUAGAGUAUUCAUUACGGCUACAAAGGUUUAGUUAUAAUCCCCAUGCUCUGAAAUAUAAAGAUCUAUGUUUUAAAUGAAUUAGACAACGCUGGUCACAAAUGUAUAGGUUCAGUCAGAACUGUGGUGGUACACACCUUAAACACAGCACUGCAGAGGCAGAGGCAGAGGCAGAGGCAGGAAGGGGAGGCUCUAUGAGUUCAAGGUCAGCUUGUUGUACAUAGUGAGACAUUAUCUCAAAGAACAAAUAAGAACAAGACCUCACCUCAAAAUAAAACUUUUUUAAAAGGCUAGUCUAUAACUCAGUGACAGACUACUUGUAUAUCGUGUGGGAAGACCCCACCAGCAAAGAAGAAAAAGUGACAAAGAUUACUCUUCAGGGCUGGUGAUGUGCUUCAGUUGGUAAAGUAUUUGCUGGGCAUACACAAAGCUCUGGCUUCAGUCCCUAGCACCAACCACAACUGAGCAUGAUAGUACAAGCCUGCAAACCCAGCUUCUGGGAGGCUAUGGUAACAAGAAGAUCGGAAGUACAAGGCCAUCCCUAGAUACACAGCAAGUGUGAAGGUAGCUUAACAAUCAUAGUCACCUGUAAUAAAGAGACUCAAGAAUAUCAGUCAAUGGCCUCUCUGAAGUUAACAUUAAGUACAUUUUUACUAUUGAAAAAAAAACUAUCCAUGGGGCUGGAGAGGUGGCUCAUCGGUUAAGAACACUGGUUGCUUCCCCAGAAGUCCAGGGUUCAAUUCCCAGCAUCCACAUGGCAGCUCACAAACAUCCAUAACUCCGGUUCCAGAGGACCUGACACCCUCACACUGACAUACAUGCAGGCAAAACACCAGUGCAAAUAAAAUGAGAAGAGAUAAAUCAUUUGUAAAACACAACCCAUGAUCCUGUAGUUUUUCUCCAUGCCAUGUGUAUACGGUCUUUAAAAGUCUUUAACACACAUACCCAAAGAUAAUACACAUGGAUCUUAGUUCUCAUCUAUGCCAUAGGACAGCGCUUCUCAACCUGUGGGUGGAGACCCCUUUGGGGGAGUUAAAUGGCCCUUUCCCAGGGGUCAUCUAAGACCAUCAGAAAACACAGUUAUUUGCAUUGCAAUUCAUAACAGUAGCAAAAUUACAGUAGCAACAAAAUAAUUGUAUGGUUGGGGAUCACCCUGACAUAAGGAACUGUAUUAAAGGUCACAGCACUAGGAAGUUAAAGAACCAGUGCCCAAGGAGA
rnacentral:lncRNA from 1 species